rnacentral:rRNA from 1 species
CCCAGCUUGCUGGGUGGAUUAGUGGCGAACGGGUGAGUAACACGUGAGUAACCUGCCCUUGACUCUGGGAUAAGCGCUGGAAACGGCGUCUAAUACCGGAUACGACCUGCCCCGGCAUCGGGUGCGGGUGGAAAGUUUUUCGGUCAAGGAUGGACUCGCGGCCUAUCAGGUAGUUGGUGAGGUAAUGGCUCACCAAGCCGACGACGGGUAGCCGGCCUGAGAGGGUGACCGGCCACACUGGGACUGAGACACGGCCCAGACUCCUACGGGAGGCAGCAGUGGGGAAUAUUGCACAAUGGGCGAAAGCUUGAUGCAGCAACGCCGCGUGGGGGAUGACGGCCUUCGGGUUGUAAACCUCUUUUAGUAGGGAAGAAGGGCUUCGGCUUGACGGUACCUGCAGAAAAAGCACCGGCUAACUACGUGCCAGCAGCCGCGGUAAUACGUAGGGUGCAAGCGUUGUCCGGAAUUAUUGGGCGUAAAGAGCUCGUAGGCGGUUUGUCGCGUCUGCUGUGAAAACCCGAGGCUCAACCUCGGGCCUGCAGUGGGUACGGGCAGACUAGAGUGCGGUAGGGGAGAAUGGAAUUCCUGGUGUAGCGGUGGAAUGCGCAGAUAUCAGGAGGAACACCGAUGGCGAAGGCAGUUCUCUGGGCCGUUACUGACGCUGAGGAGCGAAAGCGUGGGGAGCGAACAGGAUUAGAUACCCUGG